rnacentral:rRNA from 1 species
CCUACGGGGGGCAGCAGUAGGGAAUCUUUCACAAUGGGCGAAAGCCUGAUGGAGCAACGCCGCGUGCAGGAUGAAGGCCUUCGGGUUGUAAACUGCUUUUAUAAGCGAGAAAUAUGAUGGUAACUUAUGAAUAAGGAUCGGCUAACUACGUGCCAGCAGCCGCGGUCAUACGUAGGAUCCGAGCAUUAUCCGGAGUGACUGGGUGUAAAGAGUUGCGUAGGUGGCAUAAUAAGUAGCUAGUGAAAUCUGGUGGCUCAACCAUUCAGACUAUUAGCUAAACUGUUAAGCUCGAGACCGUUAGGGGUAACUGGAAUUUCGAGUGUAGGAGUGAAAUGCGUAGAUAUUAGGAGGAACACCAAUAGCGUAGGCAGGUUACUGGGACGGUUCUGACACUAAGGCACGAAAGCGUAGGGAGCAAACGGGAUUAGAUACCCGAGUAGUC